rnacentral:lncRNA from 13 species
GUGCUGGCGGCGGGGCCCCGCCCCGGCGAUGCCCAGCAGGCUGCGCUGCGGGCGGUGCCGGGCAGGCCGCGGCGAUGGCGGUGGUGUAGCUGUGAGCGGGCGGUGCGGGGCCACCAUGAUCAUCGAGAGCGUAGACGCGCUCAAGUCCUGGCUGGCCAAGCUGCUGGAGCCCAUAUGUGACGCAGACCCCUCAGCCUUGGCCAACUAUGUUGUGGCGUUAGUCAAGAAAGACAAGCCCGAGAAGGAGCUGAAGGCUUUCUGUGCUGACCAGCUGGAUGUGUUUCUGCAGAAAGAAACUUCAGGGUUUGUAGAUAAACUUUUUGAAAGUUUGUACACCAAGAGUUACCUUCCUUCUGCUGAGCCCACAAAGGCAGAGGCAAAGGCUGCAGGGCAAGAGAAAGAGGAAGUCAAGGAGGAGGUAAUGUUAUUUAUUCUGCCUGCCUUUUAUUUUCAAAUUACAUGGUCUACAUCUGUCUUUUCUAGAACCAGAGAGAAAAAGCGGGAUGAUGGGAAAUGGAGGGACUAUGACAGGUACUAUGAUAGGAGUGACUUGUACAGGGAGAAGUCUGGCUGGCGCCGGGGCAGGAGUAAAAGCCGGAGCAAAAGCAGAGGGUUAAGUCGGAGUCGCAGCCGCAGCAGGGGCCGGAGCAAAGACCGGGAUGGCAGCAGGAGCGAGCACCGAGAGAGAGAGAGAUCAAAAUACAAGAGUGAAAAAAAUGAUGUCGAAGGCGAGAGAGAGAGAGAGUCUGCAUCUCCCAGUAAAAAAACUGAACAGUAUUCCUCCGCACAAGCUUUUCCCAAUGCUGUAACUGUAGUUGCACCUGCGCACCACCUUGAAAGCACCACAGAGAGCUGGUCAAAUUUCUUCAACAAUCACAACAAUCCCAGUUCAUUUGGCAGAAACCCUCCUCCUAAAAGAAGAUGUCAAGAUUAUGAUGAGCGAGGCUAUUGUGUCCUUGGUGAUCUCUGCCAGUUUGAUCACGGAAAUGAUCCUUUAGUAGUAGAUGAAGUUUCCUUGCCGAGUAUGAUCCCAUUCCCGCCGCCGCCGCCGGGGCUGCCGCCGCCGCCGGGGAUGCUGCUGCCGCCGCUGCCGGGGCCCAUGCGCGGCCUGAGGCUGCCGGUGCCGCAGCCGCACCCGCAGCCCCCGCCGCCCGUCGUGCUGCCUGUCCCGCGACCACCUUUAACACAGUCCAGCUUGAUAAACAGUCGUGACCAGCCGGGGACAAGCGCAGUGCCCAGUCUUGCACCCAUAGGAGCAAGGCUGCCUCCUCCUCUGCCCCAGAACCUGCUCUAUACAGUGUCAGAACAUACAUAUGAGCCAGAUGGCUAUAACCCUGAAGCUCCUAGUAUUACCAGUGCUGGUAGAUCUCAGUAUCGGCAGUUCUUUACGAGAGCACAAAUGCAGCGUCCAAAUCUAAUUGGCCUAACAUCUGGGGAGAUGGAUACAAACCCUCGAGCUGCCAACAUUAUCAUCCAAACUGAACCUCCCAUUCCCAUUACAAAUAACAGCAGCAAUGUCACUAGAGUUGUCCUGGAACCAGAUAGCAGGAAAAGAUCUCCAAGCAGCAUGGAAUGUCCACCAUUGAAGAAGCCCUGGUUGGGAAAGCAAGUAAAUAACAACCAGAAUAAGCCAGGGUUUUUGAAAAAGAAUCAGUAUACUAAUACAAAAUUAGAAGUUCGAAAAAUCCCACCAGAAUUGAACAAUAUUACACAGCUCAAUGAACACUUCAGCAAAUUUGGAACUAUUGUAAAUAUUCAGGUUGCUUUCCAGAACGAUCCUGAAGCUGCUCUCAUUCAGUACUUGAGUAACGAUGAGGCAAGGAAGGCAAUUUCCAGCACGGAGGCAGUGCUGAGCAAUCGGUUUAUCCGGGUGCUGUGGCACAGGGAAAGCGAGCAGCAGCCCCCAGUGCUGCAGCAGCAGCCACCACCCACCCCCCAGGCCCUGCAGCACCUGCAGCAGCAGGCCCUGGCCACACCGCCCGCCGUGACCAUGCACAGCAGCCUGUCCAAGGUGAUGAACAAACCCCUGGCAUCUGGUGCCUAUGUCCUUAACAAAGUCCCAGUGAAAAGGCGCCUUGGAGCAGCGGGUGGGAGCCAGCCUGAGCUGAGCCAGCCCGGGGCUGGGGUGGAGGAGUCUCAGAUAUUUCCUACUUCUACAAGCCACUCAAAAAUGCUUUACAGUUCUCCAAACUUGAAGACAACUCUGAAGUCUGGUGCAGGGUCUAAACCUCAUGAUGUGCAGGAAGCCCUUAAAAAAAAACAGGAGGCAAUGAAACUCCAGCAAGAUAUGAGGAAAAAGAAGCAGGAGAUGUUAGAAAAACAAAUAGAAUGCCAGAAGAUGUUGAUAUCCAAGCUGGAGAAAAACAAGGCCAUGAAACCAGAAGAGAGAGCAGAAAUUAUGAAGACUUUAAAAGAACUAACAGGAAAAAUAUCUCAGCUAAAGGAUGAAUUGAAAACCUCAUCUACAACCUCCACACCAUCCAAACUGAAGUCUAAGACAGAGGCACAGAAGGAACUGUUGGACGCAGAGCUGGACUUCCAUAAGAGACUGUCCUCUGGAGAGGACACGACUGAACUGCGGAAAAAGCUCAAUCAGUUACAGGUGGAGGCUGCUCGGUUAGGAAUCUUGCCUGUUGGUCGAGGAAAGACAGCGUCAGCCCAAGGCAGAGGCCGGGGCCGGGGCCGUGGGGGCAGAGGACGGGGAAUGUUGAACCACAUGGUGGUGGAUCAUCGGCCCAAAGCACUCACCGUGGGAGGCUUCGUUGAAGAGGAAAAAGAUGAAUUGUUACAGCACUUCUCUGUAAGUGUGACCUGUAAAUCACUAUACGUUUCUUUUCCUGCUGUAAAAUCAAGCUUCUCUUAG